GCCACCGCAUGGCUCUGCCAUGGCCACGUCGCCGCCGUCCACCUCCGCCAUGGCCGGCCUAGCGCCGCCGUCCACGUGCGCCAUGACCGGCCUAGCGUCUCUGUCCACCUUCUCCGUGGCUGCCAUGGCGCCGCUGUCCACCUCCCCCAUGUCCGACCCGCCUACCUCCACCGUGCUCAGCCCAGUGCCGUUGUUUACCUCGACCAUGGCCCCCAGCAGUUCUUCCCAUCACCAAUCCAUCCCCCUAUCCGACCAUUCCCAUCGCCGGCAAGGUCCGCUGGAAGAGGCUGACAUGAAUCCCCAAGAUCAAGAUCCAAGAGGACUAGAUGAUUGCAGCGUCAGAGAAGAAUUUGUAACAAUCUACAAUAAGUGUCAUGCCCAACUAAAUUCCACAACAAGCUAGCUUGAACUAUCUGAAUAGCUUGAAUUGCAGAAGCAGUAGCAGUAGCAGUCAGUACUGAAGUUGAUCUACUAGGAUGAUUUUAUAUUUAUGUCUCAAAAUUUCUGGUGCCUCUCGCUUCAUAAGAAAAUAUUAAAUCUCUCAUAUAUUACGUGUUUAUCUGGAAGCCGCUCCAUUCUUUGUUAUAUACUUCUGUUUAACCCAGUAUCACAUUAUAUAUGUACCGCUACUACUGUUUUCUAAAUGCAUUUACUUCGGUGUUCACAGAGUCUUUUGAGUAUGCUUUUAUUUCCGGAGGACGCAUCCUGAGUGACUACACAUGAGCAGUUUUUCUUGCUCCAGGGUCGAGCCUCAGAACAACUAGCUAACCUGGACAUAUACGAAAGCACAUCAUUAGAGCCAGAGGGAGAAGAUCGAGGUAUAUGUGAUAAUUUAUAUUCCCUAGGAAAAUAUACGAUGAGGCUCCAGUCAACAUAUCCUUACCUGGGAAGAUAUUUGGCGGAAGUGCUCUCUCCUAGCUGUGAGAUAUAAUAUCUUCUCGUGGAGGAUUGGAUGAAGGACCCCUCCAACGUGCAAAAAAUUGGCACAUGGAGCUGCCGGAGCCAGACGGCCCAGCCUCACCGCCGGUAGAAAAGCGCAGGAUGGUGCAUGGCGUCCUCAUCUAUGUUGGAUCAGUGGAGGAUCACAGCACCACGUUGAUAUGGAAAGAGAUGAUUUGGCAAAGAAAAGACCCAUCUACUUUGCAAUUACUAUACUUUGUCUAUAAGAAGUUACUGCACAUAUGCAUUUCCCUAUCAGUAUUCUGCAGCUAAACGAGGAAACUUGGUAUGUAUGAUUUGUCAUAAGUUGGAACCAGCAACUGCUUCUUCCAUCUGUUCUUCAAUCUGUAGUCCAUAUAUUUUGCUUAUAACUAUACAUCAGUUCCUACCUUAG